GAUGAACGCUGGCGGCGUGCCUAAUACAUGCAAGUCGAGCGAACGGACGAGAAGCUUGCUUCUCUGAUGUUAGCGGCGGACGGGUGAGUAACACGUGGAUAACCUACCUAUAAGACUGGGAUAACUUCGGGAAACCGGAGCUAAUACCGGAUAAUAUUUUGAACCGCAUGGUUCAAAAGUGAAAGACGGUCUUGCUGUCACUUAUAGAUGGAUCCGCGCUGCAUUAGCUAGUUGGUAAGGUAACGGCUUACCAAGGCAACGAUGCAUAGCCGACCUGAGAGGGUGAUCGGCCACACUGGAACUGAGACACGGUCCAGACUCCUACGGGAGGCAGCAGUAGGGAAUCUUCCGCAAUGGGCGAAAGCCUGACGGGGCAACGCCGCGUGAGUGAUGAAGGUCUUCGGAUCGUAAAACUCUGUUAUUAGGGAAGAACAAAUGUGUAAGUAACUAUGCACGUCUUGACGGUACCUAAUCAGAAAGCCACGGCUAACUACGUG
rnacentral:rRNA from 1 species